AGCAAAUGCAACCAAAUCAAACCUGGCCAAAAGAACUCUGAACACACCGAUUCUGACCUUUCAAAGCGAUGACUAACCAUUGAAUUCAUUUCUCAAAGUGAAGUUCUUUCUGAAAUUAAUCUCACAGGAAGACAUACGACACAAAAAAAAUUCUUCAAGAAUGGGGCUUUUAUCUCUUAUUAUGGCGGGUGCUGGUUUCUUCCUGAUUGGUGCAUGGGAAUCUCUCACCUCCUUUGCAGAUUUGAGCCUAGACUCAAACCCAAAUUCAAUUUCGUCUUCUGGGAUUGAUCGAAUAUCAAAAUCUACGACCCAAAAGAACACAGACCCGAAAUAUCAAUCUUCUUCGUUUAUUUACAUAGCCAUCACUGUCUUCUCUUUUCUAUUCAUUAUUGAUUCUCUAAUCUCACUUUUCAAUGCCGCCAAUUCACAAGAUGGAAUUGGCUCCGCCCUUCAGUUGCAAGUUCUUGCUGUUGCCGCACUCUUUUCCCUGUACUCAAUUUUAGGUCUGGUAUCGAAUUUUUCAACUUCUGUUCGUUUCCCUUCGCCGCUUCUUGAUUUGAUCCUUCUGUUCGCGUUUGUGGAAGAGUUCUUGUUGUAUUAUCUGCAAAGGAAGGACACAAGUGGGAUUGAGAACAGGUAUUUUGAUCUAUUGCUCGUUCCAAUCACGAUUUGUGUGGUUUCUACGAUUCUGGAGUUAAAGUCUUCCUCGAAAUCGAAUAAUUAUGCAAGAAUGGUCCGUGGGGUUGGGUUGAUUUUGCAAGGCAUGUGGUUUGUGCAAAUGGGUAUUUCUUUUUACAGUAAUAUGAUCGUUCAUGGUUGCUCUUUGCAUGAAAAGAGCAGAGGGGAUUACACUAUAAAAUGUAAAGGGCACUCCGAGUAUCAUAGGGCCAGAGGGAUCGCUACACUUCAGUUCAAUUGCCAUCUUGCUUUGCUUGUGGUUUUGGUGACGAGUGUGUACUCCAUUAUGGCUAGAAAGAAUGGGGAUGAUAGAAAUUUUAUGCAGUACAAGCCUCUUAGGACAGAGAUGCAGCAGAUGGAGAACAACGGACACUUCACUUUGGAUUCUGAUGAGGAUGAGAUUAGAGAAGGGGAGAAUGUGGCUAAGGAGAGGUUAGCUAUAGUGGAAAUGGGUGUUAACGGUUAUAGUUCUCAUGAGUGAGAACCGGCAACAAGAGCUUGCAAGGUGAGACAUUUUAUUUGGGCAUGAGGAUUCUCUCCUGAGGGAAUUGACUUGAGACAGUUUUUGAGUUAUUGGAAGCAUGACUUUUGGAGGGCAUGGUGUGGGAAAGGGGCUUCUCAAUAUGACUAUCUUGCUUUGUGGAAAAUAUGAAUUGUGGGGCAAUUAACAGAACCACAGCCAUAUUGGGAUGCACUUACCUUGCAUAUUAAUCUUCUUCUGAAGAGUUGCCUAUUGCAGAAGUGUGCAACACAUCCGGGUAAGCAUGCACAGGCUACCAGAGGGUUUUAGUAAAGCAACUCCUUUACAUAAAUAGUGAAGGAUCAACUUACUGGCCCUAAUCAAAACUACAAUCACCUUCUUUGCUCUCUGCCUUUGACUGGUAAUUUUAAUAUGUUUUGGAGACAUGAAGUAGCAUAUACAAUCAAUUUGGACCAUGUUAUUACUAUGUUCAUCGUCUAGUUAUGAGUUCUGUAUGUGGAUAAUUCUCUAUCCACAUGUCCAAACCCGGGAGGAAAAACUUGUGCAGAACAUGAGAUUAAUAUAUUCUUUGGCAAGACAAUAAGCACAAUGUUUCAAUGUCACUGGUUGUUGUAUCACCAACUCAAUCAAGACAGACCAUUUUGUAUAUGGUUAAACUGUGCAAAUACGCUUUGAAGAUUUGGGUGUGUAGGCCCAAAAUUAUAGGCUACUUGGUGGAGUAUUUAACCCUGCCUUAUCUUUGGUGUAAACAUGCUUGCAUUUCUCCUGUGUGGUUGACUAAUUAAGGGUGCAAACUACCAGUUAUUAGCUGAUCUCAUCAGUACAAGAGUCGGACGCUAAGAGCUAGAAGUUGGAUUGAGUACAUUUGAGCUUAAGAUAGGAGGCUUAAGCAUUUUUGAAAACAAAGUUUUAACAACCUUAUUUAGCUUUGACUGGCUUAGCUCAAGCUUUAAUUAGAUCAGCUCAACUCUUUUUCCCCAUUGUGAUAGAAACAGUUUAUUUAUGAGUGGGUUCACAUUAAAAGAUGACUAUGUUUAAACAUCUGUUCUUGACAAUGAUAAAUAUUCCUGAAGGGGACAUCAGAUGAUUUGUCCUGGCCAUUUGUUUAGUCUCUUAUGUUUGAGUUUAGGCAACAGUUUGGAGGUUACAACAGUAUUCUUCUUUCCUGCCUAGAUUAAAAAGUUGGCUACUCUUCUGAUCAAUAACUUGUUAGGCUUAGGCUACACAGUCUCAGCAGCCAUAUAAGAGAGUCUCUAUCAUCUUUGUUCUGUAAUUGUCAUAUAUACCAGAUGAUGCUUUGUGGUUUCUAUGGAGUUGCAAAAGUUUUGCUAGUAGGUAGUAUGUUGUGACUCGUGAUAGUUUCUUAUCUGCUUUUGAAUUGUGCGUCGUCACCUCUUAUUCUUUCUUCUCAUACUUGUUCAUGUCUUGAUAUGCACAUUUCUGAAAUGAAUAUAACCUUCAGCGAGAUCAUUUACGAGUGUAGGAAGAAACUGCAGUGUAAACAGCAAGUGUUCUGCAGCAACCAAAGAUCAGAGGAACACUGACAUUAUACGUGUUGAUACCAGCUGGGUCAGCUGGGUUAGUGAUUCUGCAGUGGCCAAUAGCCUCUACCUUCAUAUUGGGAGUUCAUGCAUCCUCACCAGCUGCGACUCUGAAGUUUAAGCAGCUUGGCUCCUUAUUCAACGGUUGAAUAUACCUAUUCCGAAAAUGCUAGUUCUCUGCAUACUUGUUUUCUAUCAUUUUUGUUAAUAACUGGAAUGCAAAAAUGUUGCAUUGCAUAAGAAUCCAAUAUGAUUAGCUCUUCCCAUC